UCUUCAUUAAUAACUUAUGAUUUAUAAUCGAAAGAAAUAAUCAUAGAAAUAAAAAAAUAAAAUGUUAAUAACAGAUAAAGUAUCUAAAUCAUAUAUUACAUAUAUCGUUCGUAAUGUUUGCAAAACAAGUAUAGUUUAUUAGGAUAAAGCCGGUAGUACAAACAAAAGUACAAAAUCGUGAAAAAAGUGCGCGAAUAAGUAAUUUAUUAAUAUUAAAUUAUUCUUUAUAUAAAUAACAUAAAAAUCGCAUGAUAAUAUACAUAUUUACGCCAGGAAUCAUCAGAUCUGCGAACAAGAUAGUGUUCACCAAUAUCAAGAGAUUAAAAAUCACUGAUCAUUGAAGCGAUUUACCGCUAUGAGACAACCGAAAAUAGAUGAACAUUGCACUUGCUGAUGCAACACAACCAAUGCGGCCAUGAAAUUCUCCACAACAUAUAUUAUAUAUAUAAAAGAAACUAGAUCGUUCGAAGCGUUUUAAACGGAAAUGAAAAAUUUUUUUUGGAAUCGAUAAUUAAAAUUAUAAAUAUAAUCAAAUAAGAAAAAAUUGUCAUAAUAAUGUCAUAAUAAAUAUUGUAAAUAUAAAAAAAUUGUCAUAAUUGUCAUAAUAAAUAAUGAACAUAAUUUUAUUGAAAAGAAAUGUAUAAUUAAAAAACAUAACUAAUAUAUAAUUAAAAAAUA